rnacentral:rRNA from 1 species
AGAGUUUGAUCCUGGCUCAGAACGAACGCUGGCGGCAGGCCUAACACAUGCAAGUCGAGCGCCCCGCAAGGGGAGCGGCGGACGGGUGAGUAACACGUGGGAAUUUUCCUCAAGGUACGGAACAACUCAGGGAAACUUGGGCUAAUACCGUAUGAUGCAGAGAUGCCAAAGAUUUAUCGCCUUGGGAUAAGCCCGCGUCAGAUUAGGUAGUUGGUGAGGUAACGGCUCACCAAGCCUGUGAUCUGUAGCUGGUCUGAGAGGACGAUCAGCCACAUUGGGACUGAGACACGGCCCAAACUCCUACGGGAGGCAGCAGUGGGGAAUCUUGCGCAAUGGGCGAAAGCCUGACGCAGCCAUGCCGCGUGAAUGAUGAAGGUCUUAGGAUUGUAAAGUUCUUUCGCCUGUGACGAUGAUGACGGUAACAGAGAAGAAGUCCAGAUUUGCC